AGUGAACGCUGGCGGCAGGCCUAAUACAUGCAAGUCGAACGGCAGCACAGCAGAGCUUGCUCUGUGGGGUGGCGAGUGGCGGACGGGUGAGGAAUACGUGGGAAUCUGCCCAGUCGUGGGGGAUAACGUAGGGAAACUUACGCUAAUACCGCAUGCGCCCUUCGGGGGAAAGCCGGGGGACCUUCGGGCCUGGCGCGAUUGGAUGAGCCCACGUCGGAUUAGCUAGUUGGCGGGGUAAAGGCCCACCAAGGCGACGAUCCGUAGCUGGGUCUGAGAGGAUGAUCAGCCACACUGGAACUGAGACACGGUCAGACUCCUACGGGAGGCAGCAGUAGGGGAAUAUUGGACAAUGGGCGCAAGCU
rnacentral:rRNA from 1 species